GACGAACGCUGGCGGCGUGCUUAACACAUGCAAGUCGAACGGAAAGGCCCUGCUUUUGUGGGGUGCUCGAGUGGCGAACGGGUGAGUAACACGUGAGUAACCUGCCCUUGACUUUGGGAUAACUUCAGGAAACUGGGGCUAAUACCGGAUAGGAGCUCCUGCUGCAUGGUGGGGGUUGGAAAGUUUCGGCGGUUGGGGAUGGACUCGCGGCUUAUCAGCUUGUUGGUGGGGUAGUGGCUUACCAAGGCUUUGACGGGUAGCCGGCCUGAGAGGGUGACCGGCCACAUGGGGAAUGGGGACGGGCCCAGACCCCUACGGGGGGCAGGGGGGGGGAAUUUUGCGCAAGGGGCGGAAGCCGGAUGGAGGAACCCCGGGGGGGGAAUGAGGGCCUUCGGGUGAAAAACCGUUUUCCCCUGGGACGAAGCGUGGGGAAGGGAAAUGGGUAAAAAAGCACCGGCUAACUAGUG
rnacentral:rRNA from 1 species